AGCAGUUAAUCGCUGUGGUUGUUUGUCCCUUGUGGGAGCCCCAGGCGUGUGCCCCAAUGCCCAGCCAAGGCAACGGGCCCAAAAUCAGAGAUGCAAAAGGCUGUGCCCCUUUUUCUUGUGAGGCUUGUAGCUCAGGGGUUAAGUGGCUUUGUGGAAAAUAAGAUCCAGAGCCGGUGGCAGAGUUUCUCCUAUAGAAACGCUGCCAUUUGGGCCUGAGCUGCAACUGCAGAGCAGAGAGCGAUGGAUAUCCCGGGGGCAGCGAGGGAGAUGAAGGGGCCGAGAACCAACUGCGAAGGCUCUGGCACGGACUGCUGCUCUGCCUGCGAUGGAAACGGCACCAGAGUUUACCUUGAAGCUUGUGCAACGACUGGACCAGCUCCACGCAGAAACGGACCCUGAGCAAAACAAACCUGGAGCCCGACCUGGGCUGUGAUUGAUCAUCCUGACUAUUGGGCCUCUGGAGUUUGUUUAAACCAAGCUGGGAUUUUCACCAAGACAACUUGCAUUAUGAGAUUUCCUGUGCUGCCAGGAGAGGCAGAAACCGCCUCGCUGAGCCUCUUCUGGUGCGCUGCCUUUUCCGUUUCUGGGCCUUGGUUAAUCUCUGUUUAAAAGCAGAAGAGAGUGAGAGCAGUGACUGGAGCUGGACAGGACUGGGGUUUCUGUUUCACUGGAAAGGCCCCAUAUUCUGCUUUUCUUUUUCCACUCCAAAAUAAUAUAAAAACAAAAAUAAGAUGUUUCCCGUAAAACAGAACUGUUGGAAAAAUCUCCUUUGGAGCUGAAGGAGUAUUUUUUUUUCAAUACAAUCAAAAUAUUUCACUCCUAUUUUUACCUUCAGUAAAGCCCCGAAUUGGAAAGCGAGGCUGUUUUUCGGGAUGCGGUUUCACCCGCACUGAUAGUUUCUGCAGCGCUCGGCUCCCCGGGUGAUGGGUGCGGGGAGCUGCAGGUUUUGGGGUGCUCGGCCAACUUCUGUCCCCCAAAACGGGAGCGGUGACCCCAGUGUCCCGGACGGGAGAUGCUGAAGUCAAAGCCCCUGGCAGCUCUGAGCUGUUAGAAAAAGGAGCUGAAUUUAUAGCUGUAAUAUUUGGAGCAGUUUCUGAGCAUCUCUGGGGUUUUGACAGAGCCCUGUUUUCUGCUCACGCUGCCAAGCAAUAUAGGCAAAUCUGCACCGGGUGUAAUAUGCAGUAAUAUAAUGAGGCCAUGGAGAUUAGUCCCCAGAUCAGGGCUGUGCAUCCAUCAUCCUGAGUCCCCUGGCCCCUCUGUGUUCUCUGGUUUUGCCUCCCCAUCACACACACGCGUGGGCUCAGGGACCUUGGGGACCGUCCCCACCUCGUGUGGCUCAUGUUUGUGCACUCGGUGCUGUCUCCAUGUAAAUCUCCCCUCCCCAGGCUCUGGGCUGGGGCUGAAAUGCUUUAGGUGGUGACUGUCCCCAAGCUGGGGUUGUCCUGGGGACAGCUGAGUGAGCAAGAGGCUGUUGUUGAAGGCACGUUGUUGUUUCCACCAGAAUAAUGCAGUUAUAUCAUCUUGCUAGGGAAUUUUUUCCGUAACGUUUCACUCUUGCACGGAAGAAUGUUUAUUAACAGAAAAGAGUGAUUACAAGGGUCUCCUCAACACACUUCAUCCAGUGGGGGCUGCUGGCCAGGAUGGGGCUGGUUUGAUCAUAUUAACCCGAAAUCACAGUGUCCCAAUUAAUUUCUCGGGAGCCCGGGGCUGUGCCGGGCGCAGGGGCAGCCGCGCUCGGGCUCCCGGGGCAGCUGGUUUCGUGCGAGCAAAGUGUCCGGCUGGCUCCUGCCUUCGGAGAGGAAAAACACUGGCCCAGAAGGAGGAGGCGAGGAUGGCGGCCAAACCCAAGGGAGAACCAGACACCACUCGGGUGUUUCCAUUGCAAACAGCAGAGCCCAGACGGUGCGAGGGAGGCGAUGGAGCCUUCGGCUCCGGGUGCUGCUGCGGCGGCUGGAGGGCUUGGGGGCACCAGCCUGGGGGACACCCCAAUUCCACCCCCAACGGGCUACCAGGGGCACAGCAGUUCCCAGCCAGUGGUGACAGAGGAGUGUCACCCAGGAAGGCAGGGCAGAUGUCCAUCACAGCUUGGUGGCUCUUUCUUUUGCAUCCCCAAUGGCUUUUGGUUUGUCCAAGUCUGUCCUCCCUGACUCCUGUCACCCCAGUGUCCCCAGUCUCCCUAUGGAUGGGCAGUCCUUUGUGUAUUUUUUAAUGUAUUCAUUUAAAAUCCUACUAAACCCUUGUCCUGAGCGGCA